ACAAUGUUUACAUAUAGAAAAGUUUGUUUUUUUCUGCUUAUAAUGUCGUUUUCUAAAGAUAUUAGUGAACAAAAUCGAUUUGCUAACAAUAUUUAGUAUAUUUUAAAUGUGCUAAAAUUGGAUUCAACAGCAAAAGUCGCAUAAAUAACAUAUAAAUGACGAAUUUGUUUACCUAUUACAAAUGGGGUUAUGUGGUUGUAACUGUUUAUUUUGGGAAUAAAAUGAAAAUGAUCAAUUAAACGACUGGAAAACUAUAGUGAAGUGAAGAACAUCUUGAAGUUCCAAUGAUGUUUCAAGAUGAGAUAAAUCGAAAUAAUGGUUGUAUGUUAGAAGGACAGAGAAUACGAAGAAAUGUUAUUGCUGCAUACUUAGUGUAGUGAAAUACAAAGUUCAAACAUUAUAAUAUAUUUUUUUAUUUCAAACAUUUCAUAUGAUUAUGAAAGAACAUCUUUCUUUUUAAAACAAUGAAGAAGUGAAGAACAUAAUAAAGUUCCAACGAAAAUGAUUCCAGAUGAGGAAAAUCGAAAUAAUGGUUGUAUGUUACGUGUAUAGAGAAUACGAAGAAAUGUUAUUGCUGCAAACUUAGUGUAGUGAAUUAAAAACUUAUUGUCAAAUACAAAUCAAUUUAUUUCAUACUUUUAUAAUAUAUAGUGGUACAAUUUUAUAUGUGUUCAAAUAAAAAUAUUAAUAAAUAAAAUACAAUAAACACAAAUCAUGUAUAUCUUACAAUGAAUUACAAAAUCAAAAA
rnacentral:lncRNA from 1 species